CCUACGGGUGGCAGCAGUAGGGAAUAUUGCUCAAUGGGGGAAACCCUGAAGCAGCAACGCCGCGUGGGGGAUGAAGGUUUUCGGAUUGUAAACUCCUUUUGUUAGAGAAGAUAAUGACGGUAUCUAACGAAUAAGCACCGGCUAACUCCGUGCCAGCAGCCGCGGUAAUACGGAGGGUGCAAGCGUUAAUCGGAAUCACUGGGCGUAAAGAGGGCGUAGGUGGGAUAGCAAGUCAGAUGUGAAAUCGUAUGGCUUAACCAUCGAACUGCAUUUGAAACUGUUAUUCUAGAGUAUGGGAGAGGUAGGUGGAAUUCUUGGUGUAGGGGUAAAAUCCGUAGAGAUCAAGAGGAAUACUCAUUGCGAAGGCGACCUGCUAGAACAUAACUGACGCUGAUGCGCGAAAGCGUGGGGAGCAAACAGGAUUAGAUACCCCUGUAGUC
rnacentral:rRNA from 1 species